rnacentral:rRNA from 1 species
UUAGAUACCCCACUAUAUAGAGUAUAAAUUUUAGACCUAAGCACUAUGACUAAAAAGUUAAAACUUAAACUACAUGGCGGCAGCUAGAAAUUUCAGGGGAACUUGCCAGGUAAAUGAUAAUCCUCAAGAUGACACUACUUCUAUUAAUAGUUUGUAUAUCGCCGUCUUCAGCAUUCAUUUUAGAUGAAUUCAAAAUGUUCUUGAACAAAAAGACAGGUUCUGAUGCAGCCAAUAUAGAAGUCAAAGGUGAGUUACAAUAAAAAUUUUAUUUAGAUUUAUUUUGAAAAUGAAAUAAUAAAACUGGACUUGAUAGUAACAGUUAUUAUAAACAUUUCUUGAACUUUC